UACUUAUUUGUUUUUGCUGAAUUAUAAUAGCUAGUUUUGUUUAUUUAAUGUAAUUUCUAUGUUUCACGUUCAUACCUAAUCAUCGGACUACAAAGAUAAUCACUGAAGCUCUUGGCCGGUUGUAUGAUGCACCCUGUGCGACUUAGAGCGACUUUCCACCGGAGCUCGUGGAGCAAAUUUUCAACCAAUUUAAGACUAAGUGUGCCUCGGAGGACCGGCAUAACAGUGCCAUUGUUGUAAAUUUUGAGUUCAAAUGCCGUAAGAGACUAUCUCAUUCCUUCUAUUCUGCUCGGAAGAAGAGCAAGAAGCCUUCAUGGGUUCUACCGCACAUAUGGGAGGAUCUGCUGAGGCAGUGGACCACUGAGAAGUUCAAGAAGAAGAGUGAACAGGGAAAGAAGGCUCGAGCAUCUGAGAAGAGGUGGCUCCUUGCACUGUGUGGGUGCAAGGAGCAUGGGGACUGCGAGGAGACUACUGGGGAAAAAAUAUGGGAGGAAGAUGACUCAUGAUGAGUUC